CCCGGCACAAGCGGUGGAGCAUGUGGUUUAAUUCGACGCAACGCGAAGAACCUUACCAGGGCUUGACAUCCUCUGACCGCAUAUGAAAGUAUGUUUUCUGGCUUCGGUCAGACAGAGAGACAGGUGGUGCAUGGUUGUCGUCAGCUCGUGUCGUGAGAUGUUGGGUUAAGUCCCGCAACGAGCGCAACCCCUACGUUUAGUUGCUAACGUGUAACGAUGAGCACUCUAGGCGGACUGCCGUUGACAAAACGGAGGAAGGUGGGAUGACGUCAAAUCAUCAUGCCCCUUAUGUUCUGGGCUACACACGUGCUACAAUGGCCGGUACAGACGGACGCAAAGCCGCGAGGUGGAGCAAAUCCUAAAAAGCCGGUCUCAGUUCGGAUUGCAGGCUGCAAUUCGCCUGCAUGAAGUCGGAAUCGCUAGUAAUCGCAGGUCAGCAUACUGCGGUGAAUACGUUCCCGGGCCUU
rnacentral:rRNA from 1 species